GGGCGAUUAGCUCAGUUGGUUAGAGCAUCUGCUUUACACGCAGGGGGUCUCAGGUUCGAGUCCUGAAUCGCCCA
rfam:Omnitrophica bacterium RIFCSPLOWO2_12_FTLL_44_17 rifcsplowo2_12_scaffold_7757, whole genome shotgun sequence.